CAAUCAUUACAUCACUGAUUACCAGCACACCUGAUGUUCAUGAAGAUCAGGCCUGUGCUCUAAUUGCAACGCUUGGUUUGCUGUAAAGCACAAAAAGCCUGAGCGGGCGUGAGGCAGCGGUUUGGAAGGCAAGCUGGAGCUGUAUUGGGCUAGUUGAGGCAAAUCUAAUGCAUUUUGAAAUUCUCAGCAACCGAAGUUCCUGUGAAAGAGAUCCACACUGACUGCAAGGAUUAUGAGCACUUCAUCUGCUACAACUGCAAGACCAACCCCUUUCAUUUAUUGUUGUGAAAUAAAACGCUGAAAAAUGUGUCAGUCUUAUUUUGCAACGCCGGCUAAGCCUUGACUUGAACAAAGGCCGUGUUGCCCACAGGCCUGUUCCGUUAAUACGGAUAAUGAGCUAAUGGUUAGUAAGAUAUCAGACCGAUAACUGAGCAUGUUCAUUCAUAUGGCAUUGGCUUUACAACAUACCCUCAUUGCAUUACAUGUCAAUGAUUUAACAUAGAACACGACGUUUCUUUCGCUAGCUGUUGUUCGG